rnacentral:lncRNA from 1 species
GUGGCAAUUGACCGCCACUGGAAAUGUCCAGUGGCAGGUACUGCGCCCGCCACUGCUGUACUCCACGCACUUUUCGGGUGGUGCCGGAGGGGUUUACAGUGGCGGGUUGUAGGUCUUCGGUGGCGGGUAUUUUACCUGCCAUUGGUGAUCUCGGUGCAGUAAUGGCAAAUGCCCUGCUAAAAAGGAAAAAAAAACUAAGGUACAUCUUCGUCUUCAAAAAGAAGGUCACAAUCCCAAAACUAUCGGCAUAUCACCAAAGUUUCAUAUCUUGCAUGUUGCCCUACUAACUAGUAGUACAAAUGGCACAGAAGAUGAGCGCAACAACCCAAGUAAGUAUCGAGGGGUAUGAUACGUGCGCAAAAUUCACAUGCUUCUUCGUAGGAUGGCUAAUAAUAUCAACCGAUGAGAACCUGACAAGAGAAUCAUAAGUUAUUCAUUAGUCCCUAAAAGGAUAACGAGAAGUGUUAAAGUUCACUGAG